CGGAGACCCGGGCCCCGGGCCUGCAGCGCCCCCGCCUCCGCGCUCCUCGGGCAGCCCUCACGCCGGGAGAGGGCGCCUCGGGCUCGGACACCUUCCACACCCGCCCCGGGGUCGGAGCAGCUCAGGAAGAGCAUCCUAGCCUCAGACUGCGCGGUGGGGAGCCUCCUCGGGACUGGAGGGAGAGGUGAAAGGAGGGUCAGAACCUUGGCGAGAACUCGCCGCCUCCACACCUGAGGGCACAGACUGAAAUAGUUCUAUCCAGGUUUUCUAGUUGUUUAUUGAGACAGUUGAUCUCUACAAGCUGGUUUGACAUAGGCAGAAGCAGAAGUCCCUUCAUGUGUUGGUCCUGCGCUAGGAGGUGGCUGAUCCAGGAUGAAUCAGAUCUUACCCCUGACCUCCAGUUGCUCACAGCCUCAAGGAGAAAAGGAAAAUAACGUGAUAGGCAUAAUACAGUGUGGAAAGUGCAACAGUGGUCCAAGUUCAGUCCACCAACUCAGGGCUGAGCUGGUGGAGUGAAAGCCUGGAACUGCUGAUGGCCAUCUUUGCCACCAAGACAGAGAAAGCCUCCCUGAGAAUGAAGCCAACACUUGAGUAAACAGAUCUGAAAGAAAGAGAUCUGUCUGCCUGAUGAUGCUGUGUGGGUGCCUAGAUCCAGCCAUGCCUGAAGACUAACCUGAAUAUUUCAUCUUUGUGAGCCAGUGAAUUCUCUUUUUGGAGUAAUUGUUUGAGUUGAGCUUUUGCUCCUUCUAACGAAAGAGUUCUAGUGAAUAUAGGUUCCACUAAAAAGCUUUUAUGUCAGUACAGAGCAUCUAUUUGGGAUGAUUUAAAUUUUUGGAAAUAGAUGGUGGGAUGGUCGCAUGACAUUAUAAAUGUAUUUAAUGUCACUGAAUUGUACACUUAAAAUGGAUAAAAUGAUAAAUUUAAUGUUAUGUACAUUU